rnacentral:rRNA from 1 species
GACGAACGCUGGCGGCGUGCAUAAUACAUGCAAGUCGAGCGAGCAAUUUUAGCAGAAUACCUUCGGGUAGGAAGCUAAGAGCGCGAGCGGCGGAUGGGUGAGUAACACGUGGGCAACCUACCCUUUAGCUGGGGAUACCACUUGGAAACAGGUGCUAAUACCGAAUAAGAAGCAAGAGCGCAUGCUCAAGCUAUGAAAGGCGGCUUUAAGCUGUCACUAAAGGAUGGGCCCGCGGUGCAUUAGCUAGUUGGGAAGGUAACGGCUUACCAAGGGAAGCAUGGGUCGCCGGGUUGGGAGACUGAACGGCCACAUGGGGACUGGAAACCGGCCCAACCGCCUAAGGGAGGCAGCCGUAGGGAUUCUUCCACAAGGGACGCAAGUCUGAUGGAGCAACGCCGCGUGAGUGAAGAAGGUUUUCGGAUCGUAAAGCUCUGUUGUUGGUGAAUAAGGAUAAGGAUAGUAACUGAUUCAUAUUUGACGGUAAUCAACCAGAAAGUCACGGCUAACUACGUGCCAGCAGCCGCGGUAA